CCUGUUGCAUCGGGACCCUGGGGCAAACCCCAUAAAAGGAGGUGGACCGCCAGGGACGUUACUUCCUAGUGUCGCUCCUGGGUUCUUUUUCCGUCGUGGACCUGUCCUAGAGGUACUGGUCCAUUUUUCCGGCCGCACCUCGUCCCUUCAUCCUGUUCUCGGACAGGCUUCCCCGGCUACAGAUGCCAAAGUACCUUCACCCGCUUCCUGUUUUUCCAGACAUGACUGAUUUUCUCUCCUGCAAGAACAACGUGCCUACACCAGACUCUCUAACUGUGGUCUACUUGUGUAACCACAGAGCAAGAUAUAGGACCAGUGAUGAGGGGACCGUGAGGAGAGGAAUCGUCUACUCUAGUCUCAGGAGGGCAGACUGGACAGUGAGAGACAGAGACAGAGAGAAAGGUCCUCAUUUUCCCGUUAGUUCACCCCUCAAGUGGCUGCUACGCCAGUGUGGCCGGUGUGCUGCGCUGAUCUGAAGCCAGGAGCCAGGUGCUUCCCCCUGGUCUUCCAUGUGGGUGCAGGGCCCAAGGACCUGGGCCAUCCUCCACUGCACUCUGGGGCCACAGCAGAGAGCUGGACUGGAAGAGGAGCAACUGGGACAGAAUCCGGUGCCCCGACCAGGCCUAGAACCCGGGGUGCCAGUGCCGCAGGCAGAGGAUUAAUCCAGUGAGCUGCGGCGCUGGCCUUAUCAUAAUUAAAAAAAAAUAAAUUCAUAUAAAAUCACCAAGUUGCUUGACAUAGGAAAGGUGAUUCUGUCUUGUCACAAUAAUGAUUCUGAACAUGUUGAUAAGAAUGCUUUAUCAAAUAUGAAACAUCAGUUUUAUAUUUGAGUUAAAAAAGGGUUUUCAUUGUGGGUUGUUUGUUUUGUUGUGGUGGAGUUUCUUGAUCUCUUUGUAGAUUCUGGUUAUUAAUCCUUUAUUAGUUGCAUAACUUGCAAAUAUUUUCUCCCAUUCUGCUGGUUGCCUCUUCACUUUCCUGACUGUUUCUUUUGCUGUACAGAAACUUCUCAAUUUGAUGUAAUUCCAGUUUUUAAUUUUGGCUUUGGCUGCCUGUGCCUCUGAGAGCUUAGAGUGUUCAUCAUGGAAGGGCAUUGUAUUUUAUCAAAUGCUUUCUCUGCAUUUAUUGAGAUAAUCAUAUGGUUUUUCUUCAGCACUUUGUCAAUCGAUGAUUGAUUUGAGAAUGUUGAACCAUCUCUGCAUACCAGGGAUAAAUCCUACUUGAUCUGGGUGGAUGAUUGUUGUGGUGUAUCAUUGGAUUCUAUUGGCUAGACUUAAUAAAAGAGAAUUUUUGUGUCUAUGUUCAUCAGGGAAAUUGGUCUGUAAUUCCCUUUCUCUGCUAAAUCUUUUUCAGGUUUAGGAAUUAAGGUGAUGCUGGCUUCGUAGAAAUAAAUUGGGAGAAUUUCCUCUUUUGCAAUUGUUUUGAAUAGCUUGAAAAAAAUUGUAGUUAGUUCUUCUUUAAAUAUCUUGUGGAAUUCAGCAGUGACUCCAUCCUGUCCUGGGCUUUCUUUGUUGCGAGGGCCUUUAUUACUGAUUCAAUUUCUGUCUUGGUUAUGGGUCUGUUCAGGUUUUCUGUGUUUUCAUGGUUCAAUUUCGGUAGGCUGUGUGUGUCCAGGAAUCUGUUCUUUUCUGCUAGAUUUCCCAGUUUGUUGGCAUACAGCACUUUGUAGUAAUUUCUGAUGAUUUUUUGUAUUUCUGUGGUGUCUGUUGUUACAUUCCCUUUUUCAUCUCUAAUGUUAUUGAUUUGGGUCUUCUCUCUCUUUUGGUUAGUUGGGCCAAUGGUGUGUCAAUUUUAUCUUUUCAAAAAAUCAGCUCUUUGUUUUGCAGACUUUUGUGAUUUUUUUGGAUUCAAUUUUGUUGAUUUCUCCUCUCAUUUUAAUUAUUUCUUUUCUCUUGCUAGUUUUGGGUUUGGUUUGCUGUAGAUUUUCUAGAUUCUCUAGAUGCAUUGAUAGCUCAUUUACUUGGUUUCUUUCUAAUUUCUUGAUGUAGGCACUUAUUGCUAUAAACUUUCCUCUUACUGCUUUUGGUAAAUCCCAUAAGUUUUGAUACAUUUUGUUGUUAUCUUCAUUUGCUUCCAGAAAGUUUUUGAUUUCUUCUAUGACCCAUUGUCCAUUCAGGAGCAUGUUGUUCAGUCUCCAUGUGUUUGUAUAUGCUCUAGAGAUUUCUGGGUUUCUGAUUUCCAGCUUCAUUCUGUGCAGUCUGAGAAGAUGCAUGGUAUGAUUUUUAUUUUUUUGAAUUUGCUGAGACUUGCUUUAUGGCCUAGUAUGUGGUCAAUCCUAGAGAAAGUUCCAUGCACUGCUGAGAAGAAUGUGUAUUCUGCAACUGUAGGAUGAAAAGUUCUGUAGAUAUCUGUUAGGUCAUUCAGUCUAUAAGUGUUGAUUAAAUCUGCUGUUUCCUUGUUCAUUUUCUGUCUGGUUGAUCUGUCAGUUGCUGAAAGUGGAGUAUUGAAUUCCCCCAGUCCUAUUGUAUUGGAGUCUAAGACUUGCUUUAAAUCCUUUCACAUUUAUUUUAAAUAGCCAGGUGCCCUGUAAUUAGGUGCAUAUAUGUUUAUAAUACUUACAUCUUCCUAUUGAAUUGAUCCCUUAAUCAUUUUUUAAAGAUUUAUUUAUUUAUUUGAAAAUCCGUUACCCAUCUCAGGUGUUACAGGAGACUGGUCUUCUUGUCUCUAUGGAACUUUGAAUAAAUGGCUCAGUGAGUCAUGGUUUUACCAGUGAGGAAGAGACUAAGCAAGCUGUUUGUUUGUAGUAGUUUCUUUCCAAGUGGAAUAUCACCUUGGGGAGAGAAGACUGUAGGAGACAGGGAAGGAAAUCCAGCAAGAAACCUCAACACUUUGACAAGGAAGGACUGAGUUCUAGAGCGAGAUGGUCACAGAACUAGAGAGGAAAAGGCAGGUCAAAUGGGAACAGGAGGAAGGGGAGGCUGACUUACUAUAUCCAACAAAAGAUGAUUGGAUAUGAAAAAAAUGCAUGGGUCAGUUAUCCAGUUGUUAAGUAUCAGAAGGAGAACUAUUCCAGGCAGUAACUGUCCCUGUAGAUGCAGACACCAGAUAGGAUUUCGAGGUGAGGGAAGGGCAUUGAGCUUAAUUUCAAAUAGGGAGCAUAGUCGAGGGAAUUUAUUGCCUUCAGCAAGGUAUAUGGGUUAGUGGAUGCAGAAUUACCAAGAGGUAAUAGUGGGGAUAAGAGAAGACUGCAGAAACAGGCAGAUAAGGGGAUGAGACAUUACCUGACUAGUAAUGCAAGAUGAACUUGAUUUUGUUAGUAGAUUUUUACUAACACUGGACAAUGCAGAGAUGAAAAGAAGUCAGGCUGAGUUGAAAAUGAGGUUGGGACAGCCUAACAAGAAUGUGGCCAAUUAGAUCAUUCAAUUAGAUCAUUCUUGUUAGGCUCUAAAGGAAAGAAGAUUGGAGUAGACAUAAAAGCCAUCCAAGUUAGAUAAUCAGACAACUUCCAGGAAAUAGUAUGAAAAGCAGGUGAUUAAAUCAAUGAUUCUUAAUUUUC